GACGAACGCUGGCGGCGUGCUUAACACAUGCAAGUCGAACGGAAAGGCCCUGCUUUCGUGGGGUGCUCGAGUGGCGAACGGGUGAGUAACACGUGAGUAACCUGCUCUUGACUUUGGGAUAACUUCAGGAAACUGGGGCUAAUACCGGAUAGGAGCUCCUGCUGCAUGGUGGGGGUUGGAAAGUUUCGGCGGGUGGGGAUGGACUCGCGGCUUAUCAGCUUGUUGGUGGGGUAGUGGCUUACCAAGGCUUUGACGGGUAGCCGGCCUGGGUGGGUGACCGGCCAAAUUGGGACUGAGAUACGGCCCAGACUCCUACGGGAGGCAGCAGUGGGGAAUAUUGCACAAUGGGCGGAAGCCUGAUGCAGCAACGCCGCGUGCGGGAUAACGGCCUUCGGUUUGUAAACCGCUUUCGCCUGUGACGAAGCGUGAGUGACGGUAAUGGGUAAAGAAGCACCGGCUAACUACGUG
rnacentral:rRNA from 1 species